rnacentral:rRNA from 1 species
GCGAGAGGGGCAUCCCUUUUGUACCAAAGGAGCAAUCCGCUGAAAGAUGGGCUCAUGACUGAUUAGUUAGUUGGCAGGGCAACGGCCUACCAAGACUGCGAUCAGUAGCCGGACUGAGAGGUUGAACGGCCACAUUGGGACUGAGAUACGGCCCAGACUCCUACGGGAGGCAGCAGUGGGGAAUAUUGGGCAAUGGGCGAAAGUCUGACCCAGCAACGCCGCGUGAAGGAAGAAGGUCUUCGGAUUGUAAACUUCUUUUAUGAGGGACGAAGGACGUGACGGUACCUCAUGAAUAAGCCACGGCUAACUACGUGCCAGCAGCCGCGGUAAUACGUAGGUGGCGAGCGUUAUCCGGAUUUACUGGGUGUAAAGGGCGCGUAGGCGGAUCAGCAAGUCAGAUGUGAAAUCCAUGGGCUUAACUCAUGAACUGCAUUUGAAACUGUUGAUCUUGAGUGCUGGAGAGGUAGACGGAAUUCCUAGUGUAGCGGUGAAAUGCGUAGAUAUUAGGAAGAACACCGGCGGCGAAGGCGGUCUACUGGACAGUAACUGACGCUGAGGCGCGAAAGCGUGGGGAGCAAAC